CUAAAAUUUCGAUACACGUAGCACGGCAAUAAUCAACAAACCUUGAGAUUCUUCGAUAUUCGUCGAUCAAAACAAUGGCAAAGUUUACGUCGAACCGAGUCGAUUCGUUUAGUCUUUCGUCGACCACCGCCGUGUUUACGUCGUAUUUCGAUGUUCUAAUCGUGAAAUAAAAUUAAUUCGCAUCCAAUUUGCGAUCAGAAAAUAAUUCUUACUAACAAUUACCGACAUUGAUUAAUUGUUUUGAGUAAUAAUUAAUUCGAUUUUUGUGCGCGGGAGUAUAAUAAUGAUGAGAAUUGAGAGGGAUAAUUAACGCGACUUCAACUCGUUUCUUCUUUCGUUCGAACUCUCGUUAUCGUUACGUUGAUCUAAUCGAAGAGGACAUUAUUUUAAGAGUUGUUUGAUGUUAACGAGCAUCGUGUAGAUGUUUUAUUAUAUUACUAAUAAUGAUUAAUUAAUAGUAAUUAAUUGAGGAACACGUGGUAAAAGAGUGAUAGUGAUAGAGUGAUAGUGAGGUUAAUAAUGGCGUCGGGAUUGAAGGUUGAAGAGGUCGCUGAAGUGCUGAGACUAUGGAUAAAGUAGCAGAAUUAUGACCACACUAGAAUACAGUUAAACAGUUUACUCAAACACUAUGCAACGAUCAAUCGCGAUAAUUUACACAGACAAUCGCGUUAAAAAUCGGAAUUGUAACCGUUUAAAAUUCAAUGCCCCUGGAACUAUCGACCAAGAAAUCAGUCAAAGGAUGGAAAAAAAAAAGAAAAGGAAAGAAGAACGAGAUGGAAUGAAAUUGGAAUACGAGAGACACGAAUUACGGUAUUGAAAUAAUAAUGACGAGGCAAAGGGAUACGGGCGAUCCGAUCGACAAUGAAGGCGUCUUUCCUAACGAAGCGAUCGAGGAUCCCAUAAAUCCUCGGAUUAUUAAUACCUGGCAGUCUCGGUGCGUGAAUCCGGCAGGUGGUUGGCUGGCCUCUAAUCGUGAUCCGGGAAUAAUUUACACUCGUACACCGCUCGGAAGCCAUCGGAAUCUUUAACGACUAUUGGCCCGGUUUCGCGCCGUUUCCUUCGAGAUGAGAGAGAGGAACUUUAUAGAGUGGAGAAAGGAUGAUGAGGGUAGUCGAGGAGUGAUGAUGGACGACGAGAUGCGAUAAAGAAUUAGAGAUUUGCAUUUUAUUGGCUCGAUGUUUUAAUUUUGAAUGGGAUAUUUGGUGGAUUGAAAGGAUGAUCGAAGAUCGAUGAUAAGUGGAUUAAGAUGAAGUAGUCGAUGAUUAAUAGAUUUAAAAAGAUUUAUCGAAAUGUUUCUUUCGAUCCUACCAUAUUAAAAAGAUUCAAUUUUAGAAAUCGAUCGAAAUUAAAAUCAUUCGAAAUUCUCAAAAUUCUUCCAAUCAAAACCUUUCCCUAUCAAAAUAAAAAUAAAAAAAAAGCCAACAAACAUCUCAAUUAAUCUCGAUUCUCCACCAAGAUAUCCGCCGUCUAACCGCUUGGACUCCACCGGUCGAACACCGGCGAUUCCAGCCAGAUUAACGAGCCUGAUUAGUCACAAUCAACAACCACUUCCGCCUUUACAACCCGUCACAAAACACCGCCGAUCUCCAACCAUCAUCGUCCAUCCAGCCCAUGUUUAACCAUCCAUUUCUCCUCCACGAGUGGAGGACCGUGAUAAUCUCCAUCCCUCUCCCUCUCCCCCUCCCCCUUUUUCCUCGGACGAUUCAGUUAUAAUUCAAUCUUCACGACAGUCUAAUCCUCCGUUCCAGUCUAAUCCUCGAUUCGAGAUCGCGAUCGAUGCGAAAAAGCGCGAGGGAACGGAUGGAAAGGUCAAAUGGAGGCAAAACCGAAUCCGACCAAUGGUGGAUCUGGAAUGGAAUAUCCUCAUCCGUGGCGUGGUAUCCGCGAGCACAGGGGGGGGAGUACGAGGUGGAAGGUUCGCGGACAAGGUGUAAGUCGAUCGAGUUCGAUCCAAUAGAUCAGGCGGCAGAUUCGUUGCCGGUUAUUACAAGGGGUCGGAGGUCGAUCGCUCGCAUAAACCAUUUAGCCUUCGAUCGACUAUCGAUACCGAUAUUUCCCAGAGGUAUCGGCUAUCUCGGCUGCUCGAUCUUCGGCCGACAAGGCCCACGAUUUAUCCUCCCCCUUCAACUCGUUUAUCGUGGUUCCUCUAUCUCUCUCUCUCUCUCGUUAUAUAUAUCUACGAAACAGGGUUAAAUGUUUGGGUCUGGCUUUCUUUUUCUUUUUUUUUUUUUUCUUUCUUUAUUUUCGUGCUUUUGUUUAUCACGUUUUUUUUUUUCAUCAACGUGAUUCGGAUAUCUUCCUCGUGGCAGGUUGGUAAUUAAUUGAUGGAAUUUUUGGAGGAAAGGGUUGUUAUUGAAAAUUUGAGUUUGUAGAUUUUCUCGGUUUUUAUUUGAAUUAAUAUAUAUAUAUAUAAGAUUACGAAUGUAAUUCGGAUAUUUUGGAUAAAGAAUUUUUUUUUAAAAGAAUUUG
rnacentral:lncRNA from 1 species